rnacentral:rRNA from 1 species
GACGAACGCUGGCGGCGUGCUUAACACAUGCAAGUCGAACGGAAAGGCCCUGCUUUUGUGGGGUGCUAGAGUGGCGAACGGGUGAGUAACACGUGAGUAACCUGCCCUUGACUUUGGGAUAACUUCAGGAAACUGGGGCUAAUACCGGAUAGGAGCUCCUGCUGCAUGGUGGGGGUUGGAAAGUUUCGGCGGUUGGGGAUGGACUCGCGGCUUAUCAGCUUGUUGGUGGGGUAGUGGCUUACCAAGGCUUUGACGGGUAGCCGGCCUGAGAGGGUGACCGGCCACAUUGGGCCUGAGAUACGGCCCAGACUCCUACGGGAGGCAGCAGUGGGGAAUAUUGCACAAUGGGCGGAAGCCUGAUGCAGCAACGCCGCGUGCGGGAUGACGGCCUUCGGGUUGUAAACCGCUUUCGCCUGUGACGAAGCGUGAGUGACGGUAAUGGGUAAAGAAGCACCGGCUAACUACGUG